AGUGAACGCUGGCGGUAGGCCUAACACAUGCAAGUCGAACGGCAGCACAGUAAGAGCUUGCUCUUACGGGUGGCGAGUGGCGGACGGGUGAGGAAUACAUCGGAAUCUACUUUUUCGUGGGGGAUAACGUAGGGAAACUUACGCUAAUACCGCAUACGACCUACGGGUGAAAGCAGGGGAUCUUCGGACCUUGCGCGAUUGAAUGAGCCGAUGUCGGAUUAGCUAGUUGGCGGGGUAAAGGCCCACCAAGGCGACGAUCCGUAGCUGGUCUGAGAGGAUGAUCCGCCACACUGGAACUGAGCCACGGUCCAGCCUCCUACGGGAGGCAGCAGUGGGGAAUAUUGGACAAUGGGCGCAAGCCUGAUCCAGCCAUACCGCGUGGGUGAAGAAGGCCUUCGGGUUGUAAAGCCCUUUUGUUGGGAAAGAAAAGCAGCAGGUUAAUACCCCGCUGUUCUGACGGUACCCAAAGAAUAAGCACCGGCUAACUUCGUG
rnacentral:rRNA from 1 species